GAUGCUUAGUACGGCGAGUGAGCGGCAAAAGCUCAAAUUUGAAAUCUGGUACCUUCGGUGCCCGAGUUGUAAUUUGGAGAGGGCAACUUUGGGGCCGUUCCUUGUCUAUGUUCCUUGGAACAGGACGUCAUAGAGGGUGAGAAUCCCGUGUGGCGAGGAGUGCGGUUCUUUGUAAAGUGCCUUCGAAGAGUCGAGUUGUUUGGGAAUGCAGCUCUAAGUGGGUGGUAAAUUCCAUCUAAAGCUAAAUAUUGGCGAGAGACCGAUAGCGAACAAGUACAGUGAUGGAAAGAUGAAAAGAACUUUGAAAAGAGAGUGAAAAAGUACGUGAAAUUGUUGAAAGGGAAGGGCAUUUGAUCAGACAUGGUGUUUUGUGCCCUCUGCUCCUUGUGGGUAGGGGAAUCUCGCAUUUCACUGGGCCAGCAUCAGUUUUGGUGGCAGGAUAAAUCCAUAGGAAUGUAGCUUGCCUCGGUAAGUAUUAUAGCCUGUGGGAAUACUGCCAGCUGGGACUGAGGACUGCGACGUAAGUCAAGGAUGCUGGCAUAAUGGUUAUAUGCCGCCCGUCUUGAGAAAACGGAACAAA
rnacentral:rRNA from 1 species